AUCUAGCUGAAGAGUCCUGGAUAGGACGAAACGCGCGUCCUGAAU
rnacentral:hammerhead_ribozyme from 1 species